UUACGACCAUAUCACGUUGAAACACCGGUUCACGUACGAUCAAUGAAAGUAAGCAACGUUGAGUCUAGUCAGUACCUGGAUGGGUGAUCGCUUGGGAGUACCAGGUGUGGUA